AACGCACGAGACCUGCGGACCUGCGGAGGGAUCAUUAACAAAAAUUUGUCCACCAUGGAUAAAUUUUUAUCCAUAUCCACCUUGUGUGAACCCAUUGAAGUGUUUGUUGGCAGGUUUUUAACCGUCUUUUUUUUUAAAGAACAGUUUGAGUAUCGUAAAUGCUCGGCCUGCCAAUUUUUAUCUUUAAACAUGUCUAAACGGUUAGCCUGAAAUUUAUAUAUCUUAAAAUACAACUUUUAA
rnacentral:misc_RNA from 1 species